rnacentral:rRNA from 1 species
GGUGCCUUCGGGAAUCUACAUACAGGUGCUGCAUGGCUGUCGUCAGCUCGUGUCGUGAGAUGUUGGGUUAAGUCCCGCAACGAGCGCAACCCUUUUCCUUACUUGCCAGCAUUUCGGAUGGGAACUUUAAGGAUACUGCCAGUGACAAACUGGAGGAAGGCGGGGACGACGUCAAGUCAUCAUGGCCCUUACGGCCAGGGCUACACACGUGCUACAAUGGUCGGUACAAAGGGUUGCUACACAGCGAUGUGAUGCUAAUCUCAAAAAGCCGAUCGUAGUCCGGAUCGCAGUCUGCAACUCGACUGCGUGAAGUCGGAAUCGCUAGUAAUCGCGGAUCAGAAUGCCGCGGUGAAUACGUUCCCGGGCCUUGUACACACCGCCCGUCACACCAUGGGAGUUUGUUGCACCAGAAGUAGGUAGUCUAACCGCAAGGAGGACGCUUACCACGGUGUGGCCGAUGACUGGGGUGAAGUCGUAACAAGGUAGCCGUAGGGGAACCUGCGGCUGGAUCACCUCCUUAA